GCCCUUUUAGUUCAAUGGAAGAACGCCAGACUUCUAAUCUGGAGGCUGCGGGUUCACAGGCACAGAGACCAGCAAAGAUCGUAGCA